UUGUAUAUAUAUUCUGUGAAAAGCAAUGAGAAAGCUAAGGAAAAUAUUCCCUCAGUAUGUUGUACUUGAUAAUUUUUUAAUUUUUUAAUUAGGGAAAUUACCAAUUGCAUAUGCUACUCAGAGGCCGGAUAUAAAGCAAUUUGCCAAGAACAUACUCAAGGUCGUCUCUGCUGAGGAACAGGAGUCUGUAAGAGGGGUUGGCACCCUCAAUUUUGAUGCCAUAUUGGCUCUACUUACUGAGGCCAUGCUGCGAGUGAAUGGGAUCAAGAAGCCCUUCUCAGACAAGCAGAAAGAGGUAAAGGCUGCCAAUGAUUUGGGCCGUCUCUUCUCUUAACCGGGCAAUGUAUGACAUAUGUAAAAAUGAAGCAUCGACUCAUGACAUCCUCCAUUCAUAGGUGGAGGCCAACCUGCAGGUCAAGCAAAAUUAGAGGCGGCCCAGAAGAGGGUAACUGAGCUAGAGACCCAACUGAAGUCAGCCAAGUCCGAGCUUGAGACGCUUGUAGAUGCUGGCAGGGAGACCGACAGCCUUCGUCGUUAAAAUGAGAGCCUGAAGAGGAAACUGUCCAACCAGGAGGAGUAGCUAAGGAAAAAGUACGUGACCAGGGUCGAGGAAGAAAAGAGACAAUUUAUCUCUGGCAAUGAGGCCGACUGUGUCACUCGGAUGAAGAUGGCGCGGAAGGUUUUGUAUCCUCAGGACGACUACUCUGUUUGGGAAUAUCGCUUUGACGAGGCCACCGAUGCGUUAAAUAAAUAGUGAUUGCAGUAGGAAAUGGAGGAUGCGUCCGGGGAUGAGGAUGCGGGUGAGAGAAUGAGGGGCUCGAGCAUCAUGAGAAGCAUCCGACUAAUGCAAAUGGACAACCAGAUGGUAAUUAAAAAGAGCCCUCCCCUCAAGCAGAAUAAGCUUGUAUUGAUGUGCCUGCGUGCCGAGUAUUGAUGUAUCUUUACCGACUGUAGAGUCGGGUUUUAUCAACAAUUUUCUCUUCACCGAUUGUAAUAUCAGUUAACACUUUCUUUUAACCGACCAUGAGGUCGGUUUUUUAAUAUGAAUAUGAAUCAGCCGGCCAUUAGGUCAGUUUUA